CUGCUGCCUUCCGUAGGAGUUUGGGCCGUGUCUCAGUCCCAAUGUGGCCGUCCACCCUCUCAGGCCGGCUACCGAUCGUCGCCUUGGUAGGCCGUUACCCUGCCAACCAGCUAAUCAGACGCGGGCCCAUCUCGCACCACCUGGGUUUUCAGGGCAGGGGCAUGCGCCCCCGCCCGCUAUGCGGUGUUAGCACCUAUUUCUAAGUGUUAUCCCCCAGUGCGAGGCAGGUUGCCCACGCGUUACUCACCCGUCCGCCACUGGGG
rnacentral:rRNA from 1 species